CUGCUGCUGCAUGGUUUUAUAUCUGUGGGGCAAAAGGCUUCAUUAGCACACACAUCUUGUGGUAAAUGUGCCACUAAAAGUUCUGUCUCUCCUUCAGGAGAGUACCAGGCUCCUCUCAGCAAGACUCUGGACAAGACCCUUCAGUUCUGCUCACCACUGCCACAGUGAUUUCAUUUGCACUGUGAGGGAGAACAUGUCCUGCAGUUCUGGUCAAGCUCCACAUCUGCACUCUGCCAUAGUUCUGUGCAGGUCUUCGUUGCAUUGGAAGAGGAGGCUGUAGUGUGAGAUGAAAACCCGGAGGCGCUGCACACACACCAGCAGCAGGUGCCUAUCAGCCAUGGCAACCUCCAAGAAACACAGCAAGUGGAUUGGCAGGAGAGUCCUAUCAGGUUAAGCAUAACAGGAAGAG